rnacentral:rRNA from 1 species
UACGGAGGGGACUAGCGUUGUUCGGAAUUACUGGGCGUAAAGCGCACGUAGGCGGAUUUGUAAGUCAGGGGUGAAAUCCCGGGGCUCAACCUCGGAACUGCCUUUGAUACUGCAAAUCUCGAGUCCGGAAGAGGUGAGUGGAAUUCCUAGUGUAGAGGUGAAAUUCGUAGAUAUUAGGAAGAACACCAGUGGCGAAGGCGGCUCACUGGUCCGGGUACUGACGCUGAGGUGCGAAAGCGUGGGGAGCAAACAGG